UACAGAGGGUGCGAGCGUUAAUCGGAGUUACUGGGCGUAAAGGGCGCGUAGGUGGAUAUUUAAGUUGGAUGUGAAAUCCCUGGGCUUAACCUAGGAAUUGCAUACAAAACUGAGUAUCUGGAGUACUGUAGAGGGUAGUGGAAUUUCCGGUGUAGCGGUGAAAUGCGUAGAGAUCGGAAGGAACACCAGUGGCGAAGGCGGCUACCUGGACAGAUACUGACACUGAGGCGCGAAAGCGUGGGGAUCAAACAGG
rnacentral:rRNA from 1 species